UCAGCGCUCACACUGACAACCGGAGGAACUAAAAACAAACAAAAACAUGAACAAGCAUUAAAAAAAACAUCAACAAUUUUGUAAUGCGUUUCAUUAAUAUGCAUGUCUGACCCUGAUUACUCAAGAUUAGUAGAAGAUUUUUUUAUUGAACAGUGAAGGUGAAAGUAGAGUUUAAGUCGGACUUUAGAGCCGUGUACUUCACACUGCACCACUCUGCACAAAUUUGUGGUGACAAGAAGGCAAAACCACUGGAUGCCCAGACGAUUUGUGGUUAUCGGACUGACAGAUAGAUGUCGUUUAUUUCCCUGACCUGGUCGUGGACUAAAAGGACGAAGACAAAAGACAAAGAGGCGACUUCAAAUACAAAUAUACAGGACACCGGGAAUACCUGCUUUAGGAAAUUCCCCACCAGAUACUGAACCUGAGGAUUAAGAGGUGAUGGAAAUGGACCCCAAGCUCCAAUAAACACAAGAAGAAGAAGAAGAAGAAGAAGAAGAAGAAGACGUCUACUGGAGGCUGUUUGUACUCAUGGAUAUUACGGUCAUUGAUUUAAUCCUGCGAUUAAAAAUGUCAACAUUUAUAUUAUGACCGUGUUGUUCAGAGGUUGGAUAAUUUUAUAAGACCCGGAACUAACGGAGAUUAAACUGUUCAGAUUUCCAAAAUAAACAGAACAUAACAUGACGCCUGCAUUGCAGCAGUGAAGGGAGAAGUCUGAACACCAAGUAGUGAUGUGUUUCCAUUGCAGCACUGCUGUGGAAAUUUUAAUAAAAACACACUGGUAGGUGUAACCGGUGUUGUCUGCGUUGUGCUUUAACAUGUUUCUUAAUAACAUGUUAUCAAGAAACAAUAUUUAAAAAAAAAAAAAACAACAACAACAGAAAAACAAAUUACAACAAAACAAAAACAGUUGCCAGGGGGAGGGAAGUAUAAAACUCCAAAACAUAAAUACAAGAUAUACAUAUAUACACAUGUAUGCAUAUAUACAAUCAAAUAAAUAUAUUGUAAAAUUCACAAACUUUCAAAGUUUUUACAGCUCUCAUUAACAGAGUCUCGAACACUGUCAAUAUAAAUACAUAUUUCAGUCAACAAAACCAUAAAAUUGGGUAUUUUAUUAGUAAAUUUACACUUUUACUAAGAUUUGGUCAAUAGAAUAGUAAAUGAAUUAAGUAAAAGUACUGUUCCUGUUGGUCAGGAUAGUCAGUAAAGCCAAAGAGGACAUUUUCCCAUAAGAGUGAACGAGGUCUU